UUUUUUUUAAUUUGCUUUCCAGUUAUUUUGGUUUGGUUUUUUGAAGCAGGUGUUUAAGGUUUAACCUUCUUCAGGGACAAAUUCUGACUGUUGGGGAACUUAACUCUGCAAUAUGAAAAUCUCUUCACGCUCUGGUAGGGCUUGGAUGGUUGAACUCUGUACUGCCUUGUCUGCAUUCAGCCCCAACCCCCUCUGAUUCUCUGUUUUUAAAAGUGUGUCCUUUCUCUUUGUACAUGUUUAACAUGACGCAAUAAUUUGAGGGCAAACUUAGUAGUGAGUGUGUAUGAUAGAAUCAAGAGAAUUAUGGGAUGCUGACUUGAGAAAAUCAUGACUAUGAUUUGGUUCUAGGAAAAAGGCAGUGGAUAAUUAUGCAAAUUUGCCAGGAGAAGGGGAGACAUGCUAAUGGGCCUUAUUGGAUGAGGGUAGGAGAUAGGGUACACCUUCAGGAGGAAGUGCUAUAGGUGUAGGAAAGGCCAGCCCCAGACAUCUUACUGUGACUGCCAUUUUGCAGUAGGAAGGAGGGGCUGACCAUCCCCACCACUAUAACACACUGACAAACAUGGAAUUAAAACUACCUAGAUUGUGAGAGCUGAAUUUAGACAACCGGAUUAGUGUCAUGCAGACCAGAAACACCUGUUGUCUUUGCCUAAAAAAAAAAAAAAAAUUUUUUUUUUUUCUUUUGGAGAUCCAAAGGGAAAUCUGUAAAAGAAUAUGAUCUUCCAUCUAAAUGGAGGGAAGUUAUAAAACAAAAACACUACUAUCGUGGCUCAGGAUAUGAUGGUGGGGAGAGCGAGGGAACUGGGGUGAUUUUGAGUUUUAAGAACGAGACAGUUGUGGGCCUAAAUUGAGUCCAUUUACCAGCACCAGGUACUGUUAGAAGCUUCACCCAUCAGGACAGCGGUUGAUAACUGGUGCACGCCCCAUCCUUAUCUUCCUGUGGGUUGCUGAUGAGAGAACCUAACAAAAUCUAUACUCAUAUGACCGAUCAAAUUCGUUACCUGAACACCAAGAAGAAAAUUAACCAGUUGCCUUGGAAUCGACUCGAUGGCAGUGGGCUUGGUUUGGUUUUUGGUCUGUUCCCUCCAUCUCCCCAAACGUCUGACACCCGAAAAGCCACCCACAGCUAUAGAACCUGAGCAGCAUUCCAAUUUUUGUCAUCAUCUAACCAAGCCCCAAAGACUCCCCUCCCUCAGCUCCCCACCCUCGCCCACCUCCAAGAUGAUGCAGUUCAGACUUCCCUCUUGAAAGGCAGAGGUGAACAUUCAGGACCGUCUCUGGCAGGGCACUUCCUGUUCAAACUCCCCACAAGUGGGCUGUCUCCCCUCAUUUCAUUUUUCUAAAGGGGCCAACGCCUCUUCUAGAAAAUAAUAAAAUGCAAUGUGUGUGAUUUACUUUUCUGAUCUCUUUGAGAAAUAGAUAACUAUCUUAUAAAAGUGUGUUCUUAACUCCAGAACCACUCUUUUUGCAUAAAUACCUCAUCGGGCAGCUUUCUAAGUGUUCUUUCCCCAAGUCUCCUAGGCAGCCCGCAUUGGAUCUGCUGGAAGCCUUGUUGGGGAAACUUUAGCGAGGGUACUUUUUUCUAUUUUUCUUCUGUUUUUGGAGGCAUACACAUUAUGUAUAA